CAGUAGCCGCGGGAAUACGGAGGGGGCUAGCGUUGUUCGGAAUUACUGGGCGUAAAGCGCACGUAGGCGGCUUUGUAAGUCAGAGGUGAAAGCCCGGGGCUCAACCCCGGAAUUGCCUUUGAGACUGCAUCGCUUGAAUCCAGGAGAGGUGAGUGGAAUUCCGAGUGUAGAGGUGAAAUUCGUAGAUAUUCGGAAGAACACCAGUGGCGAAGGCGGCUCACUGGACUGGUAUUGACGCUGAGGUGCGAAAGCGUGGGGAGCAAACAGGAUUAGAUACCCCCGUAGUCCCUGUCUCUUAUAC
rnacentral:rRNA from 1 species